rnacentral:rRNA from 1 species
UACGUAGGGUGCGAGCGUUAAUCGGAAUUACUGGGCGUAAAGGGUGCGCAGGCGGCUACAUAAGUCAGAUGUGAAAUCCCCGGGCUUAACCUGGGAACUGCGUUUGAAACUAUGUGGCUAGAGUACAGCAGAGGGGGGUGGAACUCCAUGUGUAGCAGUGAAAUGCGUAGAUAUAUGGAAGAACAUCGAUGGCGAAGGCAGCCCCCUGGGUUGAUACUGACGCUCAUGCACGAAAGCGUGGGGAGCAAACA